CAGCCUGUAGAACUUCCGGCAGCAACUGCAAUUAGGGGUAGUCCAGUGCUAAAUUGUCGCAGCCUUGAAAAUAUUCUGCUUCGUUAUUUCGGGCACUCCACAGAUUCUGUUGCGAAGGCAGCCAUCUUUAGUUCGUCUUUCCUAGAGAGCGUUGAGAAGAUUCUGCUCCAUUUUUUCUGAUUAUGGAUUCUGUUCAGAAGGAAGCCGAAUUUUAAGUCAUCGUUCUAGGAUAGACUUGGACAACGAGCAGUGCAAGAUCCCUAGUAUUUUAGUAUGAAAAUUUCCAGACCUAUAGAAAAUUUGAAAUACUUGCACCAUGAAUAUCCAGAUUCAGCUCCAUUUUCUCUGGUGGUAGAUCUCCAUGGAUGCUAUUGAGAAGGUACUUCUCAAAGUCCACGAGGACAAGGACAUCUUUCCACCGAAUGCCACCUGGUUUAUAACAAAAGCAUGAAAAACAAACAGGAAUUUCUCAAUGCAGAAAGGACUGAAGCUGUCAAAGGUGUGCUUUUUUUCUGCACAAACAAGUUUCCAUUGAAUGAUAGAAUAAAGAGAUACUGACUUCCCCGGAGCCUCCAAACUUGAGUAGUCAGGUAAGGAUCCUUGAGUAACAAGACAGCAAAGUAAGUAUUAUCCCUCCUGGGAUUUUGGUUGGUUACAACAUUGUGUUGAGUAUUUGCAUUCCAUUUUUCCCUUGGGGAAUUACACUUUCUGAGACCUCAAUUUAGGAGGCUUAAGUGAAGAUAAUCCAUCCCCAGUUACACUUGGCCUGCAUAAACCAAGCAGAUCAAAAAGAGUGCUAUGUUCAUUACUCAAUGAAUUGGUCGAUAUUGGCUUCCUUGAUAUAUAAAACUCCAUUAGUCAAAAAUAUCUUCUAAAUCUAAUGCCUUGCUUUACUCCAAAAGGCUGAUUCUUUGCUACGGCCCUAAUCUGUGGAAAUUGCAAUGUUAUUUUUCUGGACUAUUAUGGCAUAUUUAAGCCAAGAACAUGGGGUCAAGGAUACCUCUGCAGAUGUUGUUCUGGAUUUCAGGCAACGGUCUGGAAAUUUUAAGUAACUCUCGUGUUAUUUGAAUUAGGUAAAGCGUGUUCACAUUUGGACAGCAUUUAUUCUUUGGUGUACCAGGGAUCCCCAAGACCACUCUCAGGAUAGAUGAUUUGUUAGAAGAAUUCACAGAACCCAGAAAAGCUAUUAUAAGUUGGACAUGAUGGCUUGCACCUAUAGGCCUAGCUACUUGGGAAGCUGAGAUGAGAGGAUUCCUGGAGCCAAGGAGUUUGAGGCUGCAGUGAACUAUGAUCAGGCCACUGCACUCCAGCCUGAGUGACAGAGCAAGACCCCAUGUGCAAAAAUAAAAAUAAAUAACAAAGAAUAAACAAAAGCUAUUAUACUCAUAAUUACAGUUUUUUACAGCAAAAGGGUAUACAUUAAAAUCAGCAAAGGGAAAAGGCACAUAGGGAGAGAGUCCAAAAGAAACCAGACUGAAGCUUCCAGCUAUCCUCUCCCUGCGGAGUUAUAUGAACAGUGUUUAAUUCUUCCAGCACGUGAUGUGUGACACAGUACAUGCAAAGUGUUACCAGCCUUGGUCAUAGAGCCAUGGAGGGUCUGGAUCAUUGACCUUUGCUACUCAGUUCCAGCCCCCACAGAGGUCAAAAUGAUACAACAUGUCCUAAAGUGCCAAGCAUACAAAAGCAGAUAUUUAGCAUGAAGCACAUAUUUAGCAUAAACUAUCUGGUGUGCCCCAGAUAGUUUCUACUAAAAAUACAAAAAAUUAGCCAGGUGUGGUGGCGCGCACCUGUAAUCCCAGCUACUCGGGAAGUUGAAGCAGGAGAAUCGCUUGAACCCAGGAGGUGGAGGUUGCAGUGAGCUGAGAUUGUGCCACUGCACUCCAGCCUGGGCGACAAGAGCGAGACUCCAU
rnacentral:lncRNA from 1 species